rnacentral:rRNA from 1 species
UACAGAGGUCUCAAGCGUUGUUCGGAUUCAUUGGGCGUAAAGGGUGCGUAGGCGGCGCGGUAAGUCGGGUGUGAAAUCUCGGAGCUUAACUCCGAAACUGCAUUCGAUACUGCCGUGCUUGAGGACUGGAGAGGAGACUGGAAUUCCCGGUGUAGCGGUGAAAUGCGUAGAGAUCGGGAGGAAGGCCGGUGGCGAAGGCGGCGCUCUGGAACAUUUCUGACGCUGAGGCUCGAAAGCGUGGGGAGCAAACAGG